rnacentral:rRNA from 1 species
ACGGCCGCGGUACCCUAACCGUGCGAAGGUAGCAUAAUCACUUGUUCUUUAAAUGAGGACUCGUAUCAACGGCAUCACGAGGAUCCUACUGUCUCCCCCCUCUAAUCAGUGAAACUGAUCUCUCCGUGAAGAAGCGGAGAUGUACAUAUAAGACGAGAAGACCCCAUGGAGCUUUAAACCCAACAACACCCGCCCCCCUCCAAAUCCUAUUAUUUACCCGGUGAUUGUUUGUUUGGUUUUAGGUUGGGGUGACCGCGGAGUAUAAGAUAUCCUCCAUGAAAAAAAGCUAACUGCCCUUAUUAGAGAAAGACACUUCCAAAAAAUAAUAAAUUAAUUUUAAAUGAUCCGACAUUCGAUCAACGAACCAAGUUACCCUGGGGAUAACAGCGCAAUCCGUCCCGAGAGCCCCUAUCGACAGGCGGGUUUACGACCUCGAUGUUGGAUCAGGGUAUCCCAGUGGUGCAGCAGCUACUAAAGGUUCGUUUGUUCAACGAUUAAAACCCU